GUUCAUCAGUGAAUGAAAACGGUUAUUAUCCUGAUAUGAAUUCAGCUUAUGAUCCUGAAUUCAUAUUAUUAAAGCAGUCAAUGAUAUUAUUUCAGAGUUAUAACUGACUUAGCAAAGUCACGUUAAUUAAUUAAGCGAGAUGAGACUAUCGAUUCUAUUAUUUAUAAUUACUUAAGUCGUGGAUUAUUUCCGGCUUGUGAGGAGAAUUAAAUCUACGGAUUUAAUUUAGAUUUAUUUUACAGUCCAUCGAUGCUAGCAAGCAAGAAAUCAAAUAUCGUGCGAGUAUAUAUAUAUACGCUACAUUAGUAAGAAUUCAAGAUUAGUAUUUCAUUAAGCGCGUUACUGUACUACAAGUUUAUAAUUCCCAAGAGGCAAGAGCUGUACUUCAGCCAUAUCCCACAUUACUACACAUCAAAUGCAACACCAUUCCUUGUUUAAUACCAUCAGCCGACAAGGAAUCAAUAAAGGAAAAUCAUUAAAGCAAUAAAGGAAAAUCAUUAAGGUUAGUGGAAAGAAAUAAGUGUGCUGCCACCAUCCUUUAUUCCCCACCUCUUCAACCACCAAAAGCCAUGCUUUCCUCCCUCUACAGCCACCAACUUCACUCCUUAUUAUAUCACCCACCAAAUCCUUCUCUCUUUACGCAUCAACAGCUUGAGGAAGUUGUCAUAAUUACUGCAAGAUUCGAGAGGUAAGAUUGACCUGAUCCUCUCCAGUUUCUUCCUAAGUUCCUCCUGCAUUGUUAAGCAAACAAAAUACACGAUUUGUUUUCAGCUAUCUUCUCAUUGAACUCAACAUCACCGCAGCCAACCAAAAGCACAAACAUUCAAGGUCGAGCGCAAGAAUAAGAGCUCGUCAAGGAGUCACUAAUCUGUAGCAAAGCUUUGCUAUCAGGUUGAGAAGCUGCCGAUGGUGAUGAAGUGACGAGCGGGAUUCUUUUGUCUUAUUAUGUAUUAAUGAACUCUAGGGUUACAUGUCUUCAUACAUGUAAUCAGAACCUUAUUCCGCUGCGUACUCAGAAGUUUUAUGUUAUUUUGGAUAAGUCGGAGUUAUCCGAACUUACUAGUUAUUUGAGUCUAUACGACUAAAACUCCGUUAUAUUAUAAAUAUCCCUGUUGUUAACAA